UACGUAGGGAGCAAGCGUUGUCCGGAAUCAUUGGGCGUAAAGCGCGCGUAGGCGGCUCGAUCAGUCUGUUGUGAAAGUCAAAGGCUCAACCUUUGAAUGCCGAUGGAUACUGUCGAGCUAGAGUCCGGAAGAGGCGGGUGGAAUUCCUGGUGUAGCGGUGGAAUGCGCAGAUAUCGGGAGGAACACCAACGGCGAAGGCAGCCCGCUGGGACGGUACUGACGCUAAGGCGCGAAAGCGUGGGGAGCGAACAGG
rnacentral:rRNA from 1 species